UCACAUCAAGGUAAAAUGACCCAUGGUUC
rnacentral:piRNA from 1 species